rnacentral:rRNA from 1 species
UGGGGAAUAUUGCACAAUGGAGGGAACUCUGAUGCAGCGACGCCGCGUGAACGAAGAAGGCUUUCGAGUCGUAAAGUUCUUUUAUAUGGGAAGAUAAUGACGGUACCAUAAGAAAAAGCCCCGGCUAACUACGUGCCAGCAGCCGCGGUAAUACGUAGGGGGCUAGCGUUGUCCGGAAUCACUGGGCGUAAAGGGUUCGCAGGCGGAAAUGCAAGUCAGGUGUAAAAGGCAGUAGCUUAACUACUGUAAGCAUUUGAAACUGGAUAUCUUGAGAGGAGUAGAGGUAAGUGGAAUUUUUAGUGUAGCGGUGAAAUGCGUAGAUAUUAAAAAGAAUACCGGUGGCGAAGGCGACUUACUGGGCUCAUUCUGACGCUGAGGAACGAAAGCGUGGGUAGCAAACAGG